UGCUGGACUCCUAAAUCAGAACCUUAAUUGGCUCACUAAUUCUCUCUCUCCUAGCAUCUCAACAUACCAAAAACAAGUCUGACUUGGUGUUUUGUCCCAGAAACUCUAUCAGCUGCAACCGUGACAUUAUGAGACUAAAACCCUCAUCCCCUCAAUGCUGAACCGUAAAUACAGCCUCUUUCCUCCCUCACCUUGCAAGUCUCUUGAGAAACACAAGGGAGUAUAAUAUCUCAUCAGUCAUUGUACCUUCAAGCCGCGAGUGUCGUGAGUGAGAGCAAACUACCUAAGCCUUCCUCUUUCUUUUCCCUGUCUGCAAAGUUGCAGCAACAAAGGAGGUCUUGUACCUUCCCAUUUCCUUGCUCGCUGGUGCCCUAUGCGUGUUAAUGGAAGAACCCCUCUCUGCGUGCAGAUGGAGAUUCAAGUCUUUCUCCAUGAGUUGUCAUUCCCCUUGUGUUUAACCGAGAACCCCAUUCAAGGAGGUGAUGUACUCCCCUUCCUCUGUGACCGAGCUACUGGAAUCGGUUCUGAUUACACGUUUCUUUGUAGGCGUCUGUCUCAGUACUGAGUUAGUUCCUCCUUCCUCAUAUGCAGCUGAAUCUGAUCAUUGGAUUGUUGGAGGGUGAAGAGCUGUCUUGUGCGAAUAGGGGCUGUGGGUGUGGCCGCAAGAAGGUGCGCAUAAUUAUUAAAGAGUGGGCUGGUUUUGGUGCCGUUGAUUAAUAUUUGGACACGCGAGGAGGACGAAAGAGAUGAGGACAUGGAUUAUUUGGAUAUUUACUGUUAAUUGCUGUUGUUUGGACUUGCUGUUAUUUUGUCUGUUGGAUGACGUUGGAUGACUGUACUAUUGUUAUGUGGAGAACUUUAGACUACUGUUGGAACCAUGAUUUUAUUACUGUUGUGAGACUUUUAUGAUUAUCUAUUACUUUGGAGAAAUUCUGAAAACGU